CCUACGGGUGGCAGCAGUGAGGAAUAUUGGUCAAUGGGCGGAAGCCUGAACCAGCCAAGUAGCGUGCAGGAUGACGGCCCUACGGGUUGUAAACUGCUUUUAUACGGGAAUAACGCGCCUUACGUGUAGGGCUUUGCAUGUACCGUAUGAAUAAGGACCGGCUAAUUCCGUACCAGCAGCCGCGGUAAUACGGCAGGUUCGGGUGUUAUCCGGAUUUAUUGGGUUUAAAGGGAGCGUAGGCCGCAUGUCAAGCGUGCUGUGAAAUUCCCGGGCUCAACCCGGGCCUUGCAGCGCGAACUGGCGUGCUUGAGUCCGCGGAAAGCAGGCGGAAUUCGUCGUGUAGCGGUGAAAUGCUUAGAUAUGACGAAGAACCCCGAUUGCGAAGGCAGCUUGCUGCAGCGGAACUGACGCUGAUGCUCGAAAGCGCGGGUAUCGAACAGGAUUAGAUACCCCUGUAGUC
rnacentral:rRNA from 1 species